rnacentral:rRNA from 1 species
AGCGAACGCUGGCGGCAGGCUUAACACAUGCAAGUCGAGCGGGCACCUUUCGGGGUGUCAGCGGCGGACGGGUGAGUAACGCGUGGGAACGUGCCCUCUGGUUCGGAAUAACUCAGGGAAACUUGAGCUAAUACCGGAUACGCCCUUUUGGGGAAAGGCUUGCUGCCGGAGGAUCGGCCCGCGUCUGAUUAGCUAGUUGGUGAGGUAACGGCUCACCAAGGCGACGAUCAGUAGCUGGGCUGAGAGGAUGAUCAGCCACACUGGGACUGCGACACGGCCCAGACUCCUACGGGAGGCAGCAGUGGGGAAUAUUGGACAAUGGGCGCAAGCCUGAUCCAGCCAUGCCGCGUGAGUGAUGAAGGCCUUAGGGUUGUAAAGCUCUUUUAUCCGGGACGAUAAUGACGGUACCGGAGGAAUAAGCCCCGGCUAACUUCGUG